GACGAACGCUGGCGGCGUGCUUAACACAUGCAAGUCGAACGAAGUGGCGAACGGGUGAGUAACACGUGAGUAACCUGCCCUCUUCUUUGGGAAAACGGUCGGAAACGGCUGCUAAUACUGGAUAGUGGGGGAUGGGCUCGCGGCCUAUCAGCUUGGUGUGGGGGUGUGGGCCUACCAAGGCUUUGACGGGUAACCGGCCCGGGGGGGUGACCGGUCACAUUGGGACUGAGAUACGGCCCAGACUCCUACGGGAGGCAGCAGUGGGGGAUAUUGCACGAUGGGCGAAAGCCUGAUGCAGCGACGCCGCGUGGGGGAUGAAGGCUUUCGGGUUGUAAACCUCUUUCGCUAUCGAACGGGUAGGUGGAGAAGAAGCGCCGGCUAACUACGUGCCAGCAGCCGCGGUAAUAC
rnacentral:rRNA from 1 species